rnacentral:rRNA from 1 species
CCCUUAGAUGUUCUGGGCCGCACGCGCGCUACACUGAUGCAUUCAACGAGUCUAAAACCUGCUCUGAUAGGGGUGGGUAAUCUUUUGAAUAUGCAUCGUGAUUGGGAUAGAUGAUUGCAAUUUUUCAUCUUCAACGAGGAAUGCCUAGUAAACGCAAGUCAUCAGCUUGCAUUGAUUACGUCCCUGCCCUUUGUACACACCGCCCGUCGCUCCUACCGAUUGAAUGAUCCGAUGAAUAUCAUGGAUUGAGGAUGCAAGCAGGUUCGCCUGUCUUCAUCUUCGAGAAGUGAAGUAAAUCUUAUCAUUUAGAGGAAGGAGAAGUCGUAACA